AGAAGGGGAAUGCAGGAUGAGAAAAGAAGAGGGCGUAUCACUUCACCUCACUUCACCUCACAUCCUGGCCCCAUACUUCCCCCAUCUCCUUCUACUCCUACAAAUGCAUCGCAAUUCACCCACCCGUGCCCCUGGAUAAUAGCUUUCGGGACGCGACCAGACGCGAACUCAGGAAGUUAGACGGGAACUGCACUAACGGCAGGAUGGAACCAAACGAAAAUCGCCUGACACUGUGUGCAGUGAACUCCCGAACCAAGCAGCAGGCCCGAGUCUUCAAAUUACAUUUUCGUGGUCGACUUCGGAGUUUCACAAUUUAAAAAGACGUGAAGUCUGAGGACAAAAGAAUUUUACCUUUGACCUUCAAUGAAAAGAAAUCGUGACAGCGAAGUGGACUUCAUGGCAUUUCAUUUCGCCCAGUGUCGCGGGGAACGCGGGGACUGACACCCGGUAUUGGAUGUAUCGGUCUCCGCUUGCAUUUUUCCAAACACGAUGACACUUUCUUUUUAUUGUUAAGAAUUUAAGACGCUGGGUAUAUGUUGCUUGUAUUUAAUACUUGAGUGCGAUGUAACUUAGUUUUGUACAUAUGGUCAAAUAAAGCUGGGAAGUCGGGCCUGGGAUUUAUAACCAGGAUUGGUAAUGAUCAGGAUCGCUGUAUCGGUUUGCGUUGGAAGAACACGACCAUUUGUAUUUGGACGAAAAACUGGCGCUUUUGUAAUUGUAACUAAAGUGAAGUAUGCGCGACCCGAAUAAAGUACCAUUGCCUAUUAAAAUUAAUGAAUA